GACGAACGCUGGCGGCGUGCUUAACACAUGCAAGUCGAGCGGUAAGGCCCUUUCGGGGGUACGACGAGCGCGAAACGGGUGAGUAACACGUGGGUGACCUGCCCUCAGCUCUGGGAUAAGCCUGGGAAAACCGGGUCUAAUACCGGAUAUGACUCCAUGACGCAUGUUGUGGGGUGGAAAGCCUUGUGCGGCUGAGGAUGGGCCCGCGGCCUAUUAGCUUGUUGGUGGGGUGAUGGCCUACCAAGGCGACGACGGGUAGCCGGCCUGAGAGGGCGACCGGCCACACUGGGACUGAGACACGGCCCAGACU
rnacentral:rRNA from 1 species